GACCCAAUGCGCUGCCUAUGUGGAGGAUCAGGGUAUUAAUGAUCACUCAGUCAAGCUGUGUAUAUUUAGCUCUUAGUCUUUAAAUAUUGUGACAUAUCCUAAUAAUAAGAUAAAGUUAUCUUAAAGCAAAAUCUAAUUUUGUAACAAACUGUAAAAUGAAAUGAAAGUAUUCUCUUAACUAAAACUUUAAUGACAUUUUUACUUUUAAUAACACAUUUAAUCUGUCUGAUGGCAAAAUGGGUCAUAUAGCACGCUUGGUCCUCUUAAAUGUCAUAGCUGUAGUCAUAUUUGAUGAUUUGGUAACUGGUCUGACAGCUGUAUUUGAACAUAGCAUGUUCAGGAUCAGUGACAUGCUAUUUGUGUGUUAAAGCUUUAAAUAUAGAAUGUAUGUAUUGUUACUUUUGUUAGAAGCUUGUGUGAAUUUCAAUAUGGCAGCUCCAUAUUUUGGCCUGUUUAUUCCUUCAUAGUAAUGCAGAGGAUGCCAUUAUUGUGUGCAGUAAAACUAAGUUAUGUAACUUUUUCAGGAAAAUGAAGCGACUUCAGGAAGGAGUACUAAACUCAACAGUUUCCUAGUCGGCACCUGCUGUGUUAGAAUAGUGUGGAUCUCCCACAAGUAAUUAUGGGAAUAAUUCCUUCUAGUGAUAUACUGCUCACUACACCUUGAGCAGUUGAGAAUCCUUCUCUAAUUCUUGAAAAGAGAAAUUUUAAUGUUGAGGUUCGAUAACUGUAUAUCUGCUUUUUGCAUUUGAAAUCUGGCAUUAGUACUUCAAAAAGGAAAUUGUUACAUUAAACUUCUUGCUGUUGCCUUCUAGGAAUAGGAUAUUUUUAUUUUCUUGAGAUAAGGUUGAUAUUGCAAAGUUCUUUAAUAGCAGCUGUUGUAUAGGCAAGUCCUGUGCAAUACUAUAACCCGUUCAAUAGCUCCAUUUUCCACUGAAGUAAUGUUCAUUUUUAGGUUGGCUGUAUUAUAUCAAAUUCAAUCUAGUUAUCUGUCACUUGACAAUGACACUGCAGCAGCCUCAAAUGGAGAUUUGAAUAGGUGAUUGUGGAGCAGAGUGGAAUCUGUGUACUGUUACUAUUGUUUGUUUAUAAGGAAAGUGUUUCUACAUUUGGGUUACAUAGAAAUCUUAGUGGGAAUGCAGCAUUAACCAUUUUAGCAUGACUGAAUGUCACUCAUCACCAGAAAAACUCUGGUCAUGUUAUGUUUUAUUUAGUGUGCCCCAAGAAGAAGGGAGGCAAAGCGUGCAGUGCUGUUUCUGCUAUUGCCCUUGUACUUGCUAAUUUAGAGCUUAGAAAAAUUUACUUGAAAUCUGUUAGCCAGAGUGAGCUAUAUAUAUAUGCUGCCUUGCUCCUGUGGCUAUGGCCUCCAAAGCCAUAUGCCCUGAUGUCUAUAUUACAACUUGUUACAUUUAAAAACGAAACAUAUAUUUAACUGUCCUUUCUUGUUUUUGUCAUAUUUUGACAUCAUUCCAGGCUUUUUUCCUUUUCUUUUGUUUUUUUUUGCUCUUCCUGAUCUUUCCUUAGAUUGUGUUCUCCCGUCCCCAUAGUUUCUUCUUUCAAAUCUUUCUCUUUCCUUGCAUAUAUGUUCACCACAGUACUCUUCCACUCAUCCAAAUAAUACAUUUGUCCCUAUCCCUAAACACCUGGAUUGUAAUUUUGCCUGGACACCAGUCUGGAGGACUAAAGGCUAGUUAUACCCUGGUGACAAUGGGGUUAGGGAGGAAAAGGGGUACUGUCCAGGAACAGUACUCAAAUGAAACUAAAUUCCUAUACUCUGCUUCCCCCCCACCCCAGCCAGCAAGAGUUCAGUAAAUCUACUACACACCCUUCCUUGGCCAAACCUGUUUGGGUUUCUGGAAAGGAGCAUUCUUCUGAGGCCUUCUCCUCUGUACUCCCAACCCCUCCAGAGCUGUCUUUCACUGUGAAAGUGGGUACGGUCUGUCUUGCUCUACCCCUUCCUCAAGCUCUUUGCUUAUGUAAUGGAGGAACGAUCUCUAUCUUACACGAUUCCUCAGUUUUUUUUAGCUCCCAGGGGCACAUCAGCCCGCUACUUUGCUUCUUGUCACGUUUCUGCUUGACUACUCCCUCAGUGUCUGCCUCUGCUCAGCUUUGCUGAGCUACAGCAGUAUGAAACACUGACAUGAGUACUUGUCAAUAACUGUUUCCCAAAGAGUUCUGAAUAGCAACUUCAAAGGUGAUCAGUCUUAGCUUUCCCAAAGCAGCAGAGUGAAACUAUGAGCAACAUGAUGGGUAUUGGAACUAUUUUCUGCAGAUAUAAGAAAAUAACUAAAUGCAAGACAAUGCAAUGCUAUCAUUUGGAAGGUUCUCUAGAACUAUAAGAAUUAGAAAUACAUACAUUUUUUUUUAAAUGAGAGGUUAGAUUCUGUGGAAGUUGAUGACACUUGCCAGGAAAGCUUCCUAUUUGUUACAGAUGAGUGGAUUUUUUUUUUUCAAGGUCUAUGCUAAUAUUCUUUGGGGAGGGGGUUCAAUGGCAGGGAGGAAAGAAAGGAGUUAAAAAAAAAAAAACUUUAAGGUAUCAGUUACCAAUUAGCAUAAAAACAUAAUUCUUUUCAGUAAGUAGGCAUUUAAAAUUUGAUUUUUUUGGCAAAUGCUGAAAGUGGUUUGUGGGAAACAUUUCAAGUUAUUUGAGCAUAAGCUUUCGUGAGCUACAGCUCACUUCAUCUCUUCCCUCCCCCUCCCCGUGGGUAUACUAAGGCCAGUAUAGCUCCAGUUUAUUAGAUUCCUUCUCUUGAAAGGACAAGGAGGAUAGUAAUUGCUAGGUUCCAUUAUAUGCAACUGUCUUCUUGCACUAAUAUAUUGCAUACUGGGUUAAAUCUGUUUAAAGGAUAUCUUAAACAAGAAACUACCUGCCUUGGGUACUUGGAUUAUACUUAUCUGUUUUUUAAGAUUAUUUCAAUGUUGAUAGUCAGGAUUUACAAAAUUUACUGAACACCCACCAAGCCAGAGGCUGAUGUGGAAGUUCAUAGUGGAGGAAAACCAGUUAGGUCCUGGUAAAAAUCUGUUUAUACUAGUACUUGUGAAGGAGAGGGUACUGGAGUUCUUCUGAGAUGCCAUUCAUAAACCUUGCUCGGGAAUCUUUCUGUCACUGACUAGUAAGUGUCUGUCUGAUAAAUUUAUUUAAAACUUUACCCUCUUACCUACCCAGCUAUCCCUUUGGCUUCUGUAAAGAAGCAGCUGUCUUCUCCCACAUAUCCUAGAACCACCUGACUUUUGCAAGGAUUAGGGGUUCUCACUGCUUUGCUGUGGGGGGUGUGUGUGUGUGUCCUCCUCUGGCUGUUCUAAUAAUCUCUGCUAUUCUACCCUUCCAUCUCAUCUAAGUAAUCGCAUGAGACGUGUCCUGUAGAAUCAGAGUGCCUCAAAAGUAUUUAGAAAUAUUGAUCUUUCCUUUUCCCCUCUUGUUCCAGUGGAAUGUAGCUGUCAUAGUCGAGGGAGAGGCAAUCUCUUGAGUAACUAAGACGACAAGGACCUUGAAUUGCUUUUUGUAUUUAAUGCAGUGCUAUUGCAGAGAGUGAAGCACCAGAGUUGCAUGUUAAUAAUGACCAGAAUGCUGUGUCCUGUACCAUUUGGAACUUUCAAGGUGUAUAUGGCUUCAUUUCUAGAAAUAAGUUGAAAUCACAUUUGGAGGUCACAAAUGCAUGGAACACCAUGGCCAGUUUUACAUUCAAUAGGAUGGAGUACAGUCUUCUGGCCAGAUGUAGAUGGAAGUAGACUUCUUUUGUCAAAAUGGUUUUGGGGAAUCUAAUACAUUGAGGAAUCCAAAAGGAUCCAAGCCUGCAGACAGACUUAAUCAGAGGGCAGAUGCCUUCAAUAGCUGGAGUUAUCAUAGAGAAGGCAAUUUCUUCAAAGUGCUUCCCUCUUUUCCAAGAAGCAGCAGGGUGAAAUUGAGAAUUCUUUCUGGUUUCAUUGUUGUCCAUAGGGUUCUGAUUUUAGCAGAUUUGAAACCGAUAGCCUUAUCAGUUUCUGGUUGGGAAAAACUAUUAACAGCAGAGGCAUUGGAAUAAUCUGCCCAUCGACUCAUUAAACUCAAAUAACUUCAUUGGUUGGUAUUUGGAAGGAUUUCUUUACCACGGGAUAAAACCUUUUUAAUGUUAAGGCUUAGAUACUGCAGAAAUUAAUAGCAUAAUGUUGAGCUGACCCCUUCCACAUUUACUACAGCCAGUACCAAAAAUGAAUUUUUUUUCAAGUCAUUCCAAUGUGAGAAUUGCUCUGAAAAGUUGAGUGGAACAUUUUAAGUAAAGCAUCGUUUUCUUUAUUAUACGUCCCCACUAAUAUGGCUGUGAGGGUGGGGAGAGAAGGGAUGUCUCAACAGUUUUAAUUGGUGUCCUCUAAAAUUAUUUUGACUUUAUGAAGUCCUCCUUCUUCCCUGAAGAUAUGACUACGUGUAUUGCAGAUGCCAUGGAUUAUGUGGGUUGCAACAAGGACCAUUUGAUAAUAAAACUGGUGUAGAAAGUAGUUGACCCUACGAGUCUCUUAUUGCGCAACCUAUCUAGUCGUCUUGACCUCAGGCCACUUGGAGACCUCAGAGUGGCGGAGCCUGGCAGCUUUCCUUGUAUAUUAAAGUGACAAUGUAUGAGACAAAUCCUGACUUAGAAGAAAUGUUUAUCCUUAAGCAUGUGAUGAUCAUAGCAUUUCUGGUCCCUUUUCUGAGCCAGUCCUGUAAUGAUCUCCAUCCCACAAACCAAAUGGGUAGCUGGAUAAUUCCCAGUUGUAAUUAAUCCUCCCCCAUACUACCUAUAUCUCUUGGGGAAUGUCUGCACAGCAAAAAAAAAAAAACCCUACGGCUAGCCUGUGCCAGCUGGCUCAAGCUGCGGAGCUGUUUCCUUGCUGUGUAGGCUUCCAGGCUUGGGCUGGAGCCUGGGCUCUAGGGUCCUGCAGGAUGGGAGGGUCCCAUAACCCAGAAGUCUACACAGCAAGGAAACAGCCUGAGCCAGCUGGUGCAGACUAGCCACAGACUUUUCUUUGCUGUGUAGACGUAUCCUUGGUAUCAAACCUGUAGCAUUCCUUUCCCCCAUGGCCUCUUAUACCAGACCCAAAGCAAUCCUUGACUCGGUGUUGGACACCUGGGGAGCAAUAUUGUAAAUAUUUUUUCCCCCCAAUCUGACUUGGAUCCAACAAUGCUGAUAUUCUACAGUAGAACCUCAGUUAUGAACACCAAAGUUAUGAAAUAACCAGUCAACCACACAAAUAAAAAGCAAGUACAGUACGGUGUUAAAUGUAAACUACUUUAAAAAAAAAAAAGUCGGGGGAGGAAACCCCACUUUUUGUUGAAACAAACUUUUCUGGCAUUGAGGAAUCAAACAGUAAACAUUUUGGUAAUGCAUGGGUGCUAAGUGAAAUGGAUCAUGAAUUGACAAGUAGUUUUCUUGACCAAACCAAAUUAAAUGUAGAAUAACACCUUUUAAAUAUUAAGUUGAUCUAUGCUAGAAAAUCUUUGUGUGAUGUAAAAACCUUGUCUAUCAGUAAUUCCUAAAAUAUUUUCUCA